rnacentral:lncRNA from 1 species
GAUACCUGAGUCAUACAAGGACUAGUCGUUCAUUAGUUGAUUGAGUUUGGGUACCUUCAUAUCAAGCAACUCCACAAAAGCCUCCUCAUCCUCAAGAAGGACUUCGAUAUUGGAGUUUCAUUUGAGCUCAGAUUUACCCCAGCUACAACUGAAUCCCUAUGAAAUGCUAGAAAAAACAAAAAAGAAACUACUUUUUCCAACUAUGGAUAGAUGAAGGAAGGGA